rnacentral:sRNA from 1 species
AGCGCCAUCUUCAUCGAGCGUCAUGGCCGCAUCCUGCGGGCCGGGAGCGGCCGGGUACUGCUUGCUCCUCGGCUUGCAUUUGCUUCUGCUGACCGCGGGCCCUGCCCUGGGCUGGAACGACCCUGACAGAAUGUUGCUGCGGGAUGUAAAAGCUCUUACCCUCCACUAUGACCGCUAUACCACCUCCCGCAGGCUGGAUCCCAUCCCACAGUUGAAAUGUGUUGGAGGCACAGCUGGUUGUGAUUCUUAUACCCCAAAAGUCAUACAGUGUCAGAACAAAGGCUGGGAUGGGUAUGAUGUACAGGUAAUAUCCACUACAGUGAUGGCAGUCUAAAUGGGGUUUUUAUUCAGUAAAUUGUUUAUUGGGACAUUAUUCAGUCUUUUGAGGGUGCCCCUACGGAAAUCUCAGAUCAGCCUAAAAUAUGUAAGUAAAUCAAUCACUCUUCCUGUGGAAGAAAUAGCCUCCAAAAGAAAUGAACCGAUUUUA